rnacentral:rRNA from 1 species
GACGGACGCUGGCGGCGUGCCUAAUACAUGCAAGUUGAGCGCUGAAGGUUGGUACUUGUACCAACUGGAUGAGCAGCGAACGGGUGAGUAACGCGUGGGGAAUCUGCCUUUGAGCGGGGGACAACAUUUGGAAACGAAUGCUAAUACCGCAUAAAAACUUUAAACACAAGUUUUAAGUUUGAAAGAUGCAAUUGCAUCACUCAAAGAUGAUCCCGCGUUGUAUUAGCUAGUUGGUGAGGUAAAGGCUCACCAAGGCGAUGAUACAUAGCCGACCUGAGAGGGUGAUCGGCCACAUUGGGACUGAGACACGGCCCAAACUCCUACGGGAGGCAGCAGUAGGGAAUCUUCGGCAAUGGACGAAAGUCUGACCGAGCAACGCCGCGUGAGUGAAGAAGGUUUUCGGAUCGUAAAACUCUGUUGGUAGAGAAGAACGUUGGUGAGAGUGGAAAGCUCAUCAAGUGACGGUAACUACCCAGAAAGGGACGGCUAACUACGU